rnacentral:rRNA from 1 species
UACGUAGGGCGCAAGCGUUGUUCGGAAUUACUGGGCGUAAAGAGUGUGUAGGCGGUGUUCCAAGUCUGGUGUGAAAUCUCCCGGCUUAACUGGGAGGGUGCAUUAGAAACUGGAAUGCUAGAGGAUGGGAGAGGUAAGCGGAAUUCCUGGUGUAGCGGUGAAAUGCGUAGAUAUCAGGAGGAACACCUGUGGUGUAGACAGCUUACUGGACCAUUUCUGACGCUGAGACACGAAAGCGUGGGUAGCAAACAGG